GACGAACGCUGGCGGCGUGCUUAAUACAUGCAAGUAGAACGCAGUUGCGAACGGGUGAGUAACGCGUAGGUAACUGCCUCAUAGCGGGGGGUAACUAUUGGAAACGAUCGCUAAUACCGCAUCCUGUGAGAUGGACCUGCGUUGUAUUAGCUAGUUGGCGAGGUAAAGGCUCACCAAGGCGACGAUACCUAGCCGACCUGGGAGGUGAAUCGGACACUCGUGGACGGAGACCCGGCCCAGACUCCUACGGGAGGCAGCAGUAGGGAGUCUUCGGCAAUGGAGGGAAGUCUGACCGAGAGACGCAGCGUGAGUGAAGAAGGGUUUCGGAUCGUAAAGCGCGGUUGUUAGAUAGUCGGGAACUAACCAGAGAGGGACGGCUAACUACGGGCCAGCAGCCGCGGUAAUAC
rnacentral:rRNA from 1 species